rnacentral:rRNA from 1 species
AUUGAACGCUGGCGGCAUGCCUUACACAUGCAAGUCGAACGGCAGCACGGGUGCUUGCACCUGGUGGCGAGUGGCGAACGGGUGAGUAAUAUAUCGGAACGUACCUUAUUGUGGGGGAUAACGCAGCGAAAGCUGUGCUAAUACCGCAUAAUCCCUAAGGGGGAAAGCGGGGGACCGUAAGGCCUCGCGCAAUUAGAGCGGCCGAUACCUGAUUAGCUAGUUGGUGAGGUAAAGGCUCACCAAGGCAACGAUCAGUAGCUGGUCUGAGAGGACGAUCAGCCACACUGGGACUGAGACACGGCCCAGACUCCUACGGGAGGCAGCAGUGGGGAAUAUUGGACAAUGGGGGCAACCCUGAUCCAGCAAUGCCGCGUGUGUGAAGAAGGCCUUCGGGUUGUAAAGCACUUUCAGUGGGGAAGAAAGAACCAAAAUUAAUACUUUUGGGUGUUGACGUUACCCACAGAAGAAGCACUGGCUAACUCUGUGCCAGCCGCCGCGGUAA